CAGUAGCCGCGGGAAAACGUAGGGUGCAAGCGUUAAUCGGAAUUACUGGGCGUAAAGCGUGCGCAGGCGGUUAUAUAAGACAGAUGUGAAAUCCCCGGGCUCAACCUGGGAACUGCAUUUGUGACUGUAUAGCUAGAGUACGGCAGAGGGGGAUGGAAUUCCGCGUGUAGCAGUGAAAUGCGUAGAUAUGCGGAGGAACACCGAUGGCGAAGGCAAUCCCCUGGGCCUGUACUGACGCUCAUGCACGAAAGCGUGGGGAGCAAACAGGAUUAGAUACCCGGGUAGUCCCUGUCUCUUAUAC
rnacentral:rRNA from 1 species